rnacentral:rRNA from 1 species
GAGUUUGAUCCUGGCUCACGACGAACGCUGGCGGCGUGCCUAAUACAUGCAAGUCGAACGAAACUUUCUUACACCGAAUGCUUGCAUUCAUCGUAAGAAGUUGAGUGGCGGACGGGUGAGUAACACGUGGGUAACCUGCCUAAAAGAAGGGGAUAACACUUGGAAACAGGUGCUAAUACCGUAUAUCUCUAAGGAUCGCAUGAUCCUUAGAUGAAAGAUGGUUCUGCUAUCGCUUUUAGAUGGACCCGCGGCGUAUUAACUAGUUGGUGGGGUAACGGCCUACCAAGGUGAUGAUACGUAGCCGAACUGAGAGGUUGAUCGGCCACAUUGGGACUGAGACACGGCCCAAACUCCUACGGGAGGCAGCAGUAGGGAAUCUUCCACAAUGGACGCAAGUCUGAUGGAGCAACGCCGCGUGAGUGAAGAAGGUCUUCGGAUCGUAAAACUCUGUUGUUAGAGAAGAACACGAGUGAGAGUAACUGUUCAUUCGAUGACGGUAUCUAACCAGCAAGUCACGGCUAACUACGUGCCAGCAGCCGCGGUAAUACGUAGGUGGCAAGCGUUGUCCGGAUUUAUUGGGCGUAAAGGGAACGCAGGCGGUCUUUUAAGUCUGAUGUGAAAGCCUUCGGCUUAACCGGAGUAGUGCAUUGGAAACUGGAAGACUUGAGUGCAGAAGAGGAGAGUGGAACUCCAUGUGUAGCGGUGAAAUGCGUA